UACAGAGGUCUCAACCGUUGUUCGGAUUCAUUGGGCGUAAAGGGCGCGUAGGCGGCCUCCGCAAGUCAGUUGUGAAAUCUCCGAGCUUAACUCGGAAAGGUCAACUGAUACUGCGGGGCUAGAGUGCGGAAGGGGCAACUGGAAUUCUUGGUGUAGCGGUGAAAUGCGUAGAUAUCAAGAGGAACACCUGCGGCGAAGGCGGGUUGCUGGGCCGACACUGACGCUGAGGCGCGAAAGCUAGGGGAGCGAACGGG
rnacentral:rRNA from 1 species